rnacentral:rRNA from 1 species
UAACGCGUAUGCAACCUACCUUUAACAGAGAGAUAGCCCUGAGAAAUUGGGAUUAAUAUCACAUAAUAUCAUAAUGCAGCAUUGUAUAAUGAUUAAAGCUCCGGCGGUUAAAGAUGGGCAUGCGUGACAUUAGUUAGUUGGUGAGGUAACGGCUCACCAAGGGUACGAUGGGUAGCUGAUCUGAGAGGAUGAUCAGCCACACUGGGACUGAGACACGGCCCAGACUCC